rnacentral:rRNA from 1 species
AGGGGGCUAGCGUUAUCCGGAUUUACUGGGCGUAAAGGGUGCGUAGGCGGUCUUUCAAGUCAGGAGUUAAAGGCUACGGCUCAACCGUAGUAAGCUCCUGAUACUGUCUGACUUGAGUGCAGGAGAGGAAAGCGGAAUUCCCAGUGUAGCGGUGAAAUGCGUAGAUAUUGGGAGGAACACCAGUAGCGAAGGCGGCUUUCUGGACUGUAACUGACGCUGAGGCACGAAAGCGUGGGGAGCAAAC